rnacentral:rRNA from 1 species
ACUGCUCAGUAACACGUCAAUAAUCUAACCUUAGAUCUGGAAUACCCUUGGUAACCUGAGGAUAAAACCGGAUAGAAUAAUUCUACUGGAAUGUGUUUUAUUUUAAAAGUAAUGUCUAAGGAUGAGUUGGCGGCGGAUUAGGUUGUUGGUGGGGUAAAGGCCCACCAAGCCGAAGAUCCGUACGGGCCUUGAGAGAGGUAGCCCGGAGAGGGACACUGAGAUACUGGUCCCAGCCCUACGGGGUGCAGCAGGCGCGAAACCUUUACAAUGCACGCAAGUGUGAUAAGGGAAUCCCGAGUGCUCAUGUUUUACAUGGGCUUUUGCCAAGAGUAAAAAUCUUGGCGAAUAAAUGGUGGGCAAGACUGGUGCCAGCAGCCGCGGUAACACCAGCGCCAUGAGUGGCAAUCAUAAUUAUUGGGCCUAAAGCGUCCGUAGUCGGUUUGAUAAGUCUUUUGUGAAAUCGUUGGGCUUAACUCAACGUUGUGCAAGAGAUACUGUCAAACUUGGAACCGGGAGGAGUCGGAGGUAUUCUAGGGGGAGCGGUAAAAUGCUAUAAUCCCUGGAGGACCACCUGUGGCGAAAGCGUCCGACUAGAACGGCUUCGACGAUGAGGGACGAAAGCCAGGGGAGCAAACCGGAUUAGAUACCCGGGUAGUCCUGGCCAUAAACGCUGCGAGCAAGGUGUCGCGUAUCCUCUGAGGAUACGCGGUGUCGAAAUGAAGAUGUUAAGCUCGCCGCCUGGGAAGUAUGGUCGCAAGGCUGAAACUUAAAGGAAUUGGCGGGGGAGCACA